AGUAUUGGUAGUGAAUAUCGGAACGCAGCCUUAGGAACGCUGUUGGUAGUACUGACAGUACUUGCAGUAAAUAACGGAAUGCAACCAAUGGAAAGAAGCAGGAAGCAAAGAACAUAUAAGUUAGGUGCAUCCAGCCAUUGAAGUCUUGAAGUCUUGCAAAGAGCAUAUUAUAGAUCAGGCUUUACAGUUUCGUAAGACGAAGAUUCUUAUUCCUAAGGAAAGGAGUAUACUAUUCUCACGAAGGAAGAGUAUUAUCUUGUGUGAAUAGUCAGCAGCAAAAUGACGCGACACGCAAGGAAUUGUACUGCGGGUGCAGUCUACACGUAUCACGAAAAGAAGAAAGAUGCGACAGCGUCAGGUUAUGGUACGAAUACCCAGCGCGUGGGCAAAGAUUCCAUCAAGGAUUUUGAUUGUUGCUGCUUGACGCUACAACCCUGCAGAAAUCCGGUUAUAACGAAACAUGGCUAUUUAUUUGACAAAGAAGCAAUACUAGAGUAUAUCCUGACCAAAAAGAGAGAAUAUGCAAGGAAACUAAAAGAAUAUGAGAAGCAGAUGCAACAAGAAAAGGAGCAAACUGCUAAAGAAGAGUUGAAGGUAUUACAGGAUUACCUUAAUGGUAGGCAAGACAUUGCUAAUCGUCUGAGUAGCUCCAACACAAGCGACAAAGCUUCAGUGUCUAAUAUGACAAAUGGUAGAGACAAAGUAUUACCGAGCUUUUGGAUACCUUCCAAGACACCAGAAGCAAAGGAAGCCCCCUUACAAAAACCUGAUGGCACUAUUUAUUGUCCAGUUAGUGGAAAUCCAUUGAAAAUGAAGGAGUUAAUUUCUAUAAAAUUCACAGAAGUUACUGAUCCUGAUGAUAAGAGAUCGCUUAUUGUUAAACAAGCACGAUACAUGUGUCCCAUCACACAUGAUGUUUUGGGUAAUAACAUUCCCUGUGCUGUGAUAAAAACAAGUGGUGAUGUGGUUACUAUGGAAUGUGUAGAGAAGUUAAUAAAAAAGGAUUGGAUCAACCCUCUGGACAAUUCCAAAUUGAAGCCAUCUGACAUCAUUCCUUUACAAAGGGGAGGCACUGGUUACGCAUCUGUCAACGACUCAUUGGAAGGCAAACACGAAAGACCAGUACUGCAAGCGUGAAGAAGGCACAUUGAAUGUGCUGCUUUUAUUGCGUUGGUGGUAAAACAAGAGAAAAAGGAUCCCAAAAGAAUACAGAGAAUGCAGUGGAAACUGCAGCAGAAAUACAUGAUAUACAAUGGUACUGGCGUGGUCCAGCCAAAUGAAUGGACGCAUGGAAGGGCUCGAUACGAAUUUGAAGAAGUUCCUGUCCCACGGUUUAUUUUGGCGAAAUAGGCACGGGUUCCGGGGUGGGAGAGUUAACCGCCGCCUCGGCGGGGGGUGGCGAAGGUCUCGCCCCGACUCCAACCCCCGCCAGCAACAGCAGCAGCAAUACCG